CCAAUCAGAGCAAGCGGCGUGGCACCUCCCAGGGAAGGACGCGAAGGAGGACCGCGGCGCUUUUACCUCAGCGGCGCCUCAGGGCCGAUCGGGGGUCUCAGUCGGGCUCGCGGGGCGUAGGACGGACCCUGUCGGCCGGGUCAGCACCCAGCGGGGUCCGCAGCACUUCUGCCCGCCGAUGCCUUAGCAGUCAUCCUGGCAGCAGAAGCCCUGAGCACCCCGGGCUGCGUUGACAGGACUCCUCGUGUUUCUCUCACUACUCGUGCAGAGAAUUGGCUCAUGUCGGAGCACAGCAGGCCAGGUUAGUUACAGUCUGGCAGGUAGUCCAGGCUGUGAGAAAAGUAGUGGCAGGGUAACUGGACUGAUUGCUCAGGACCUUUGGAGAAAACGGGCUGCAAAUAGGACUGGUCAGUUGAUUACCAUCAGAACAAGGGAAGAAUAAAUGUCUUCACAGUGAGAGAGAGCACUGUCCAACAUAAAGCAGCUCUAUAGUUACUAGCUCAGGUACAGGUAAUGGUCAGGUAAUGGUCUAGAUACAGUCCCAGGGAGACAGAAUUGGCACAGAUGGGUCAGUCAGCCUGUGUUGCUACAUUCAGGAUGCUUCUAGUUCAGAGCUGGCACAUUCAGGUCUGCUUCUCCCUGCAUUUCUGGUUCUCAACAGUUGUGUAGAUAUGUACCCAUCUGGAGAUUACAGACAAACGUGACAUAAUGUGUGAAACAAAGGAAAUUGAUGGUAGAGAAAUAGAGUACUGGUCUUGUCAUUUCUGGAUUAUAUUAGAGCUUCCAACAGGGGCAACUCUUUCUCUGAGAAAGACUACUUCUAUCCAGUCACACUUGUGAGAACGGAACCCUGGGAACUUCUGCUGGAGCAAUUAAGGCAAAGACAACUAAAGCUUGAUGCUGUCCUGAACAGUGUGACAGAGGUGGAAGAUAACGUAGAUCAGGUAUAUGUGUGAAGGGCAAAUGAAGCUCUUCAGUGAGUAUUUCACAUCUUUAGGAGUUUUUUCAUGCCGUUGUGGAGAGUUGACUUUGAACCUCAGAGCUGUUGCAGCACUUGUAUUUUGCAGGGUACUUGGAGCCACAUGUGCUGAGCUUUUUGACAAAAACAGUAUCUUGAAAGCUGGUCCUUUUUCCGGUAUCAAUAAGGAUGAACUAUACUGAAAUCAAGGGAGUAACAGUAGAAAAUCAGGUGUGUAACCAUUCUGUAAUUUUUUUUGUGUGCCCUUCUUUUACCCCACACUGAGGAACUCUGGUGGUUAUAAACUUCACUUCAGAUCAAGCAUUUGUAUCUGUUGGCAUGCCUUACGAUAGAGCUCUUCUGUGACCCCUAAGGAUAAUACAAAAAGUAAACAGUAGUAAUAACAAUAAAAUGCUGAGAAAUCAAAAUGACAAAAAAGACAGCUGGCAAAAAACUUAGAGAAUUACAGAGUUUUUUUUCACUCAGCCCAAGAUGUUUAAGGACUAGAGACACAAAAUCAGCUAUUCAGAUUUUGGCAUUCAGUAGACAGAAUAAGCAGAGUUAGUAAAGACAUUUGACAAAAAAAAGUAUUGACACACAUGUAUUUAACUUGAAGAACUUUUCACCUGGGAGAGAAGAGAUGAUUAAUUUUUUUAUUGCUGUCUUCUGUUUCUAGUUUUUGAGGAAGAAAGGGCUUCCUUGAAAGUGCUGCGCAGUCCUGGUCGUCUGUGUCCAGUACCAUUGCCAGCAUCUUUCAACUCUCUCUGACUCCAGUCCUUCAAGAUGGGAUCUCUCCUCAGAGCACCAAAAGAAUUAUCAUGCAUUUCCCCUCAGCCGGCUGAGAUUUUCUAGGUGCUUUCAGUGGUGCUGGAAGACAACAACAACCACUGUAACUGAUCUGCCAGAGUAAGUUACCCCAAUAGUAACUUUGCUGAGGA
ensembl:lncRNA